rnacentral:misc_RNA from 1 species
AAAGAACCUUUCUAUAGUCUUCUGUACUAUACUUGCCAAAGCUUUCUCCAUCGGCUUGUAUUGAACCAUAGACAGACAACCUUAUCAAUGAAUGCUCCAGUGAACCCAUAACAAUUAUGCCACCACCAGCAGUUGAACUAGGCAAACUAUGGUUUCCACUUCCGCUACCAAGUUCACAAGGCAAACCUGUGUCACCAUAUGAAAUACCACCAUUUAUAUAGCUUCCAUUGUAAAAUGCAUCACCACCCUUUCCACCAUGUCCGGCACCACUGCUUAGGCCAUUAGGCAAGAGCACACCACUGCCCAACCCUCCAGUGCAACCUAGCCCAGAGGCACUUAUUGAUCCAGUAGAUUUUACAACAACAGUUCUAACCAAAUGGAAAUGAACAACAGACCCUUCUAAGAAGCCCUCAACCAAAACAUCUUCAACACGACAGACCUGAAGAGUAA